rnacentral:rRNA from 1 species
UACGGGGGGGGCAAGCGUUGUUCGGAAUUACUGGGCGUAAAGGGCUCGUAGGCGGCCAACUAAGUCGGAUGUGAAAUCCCCAGGCUUAACCUGGGAACUGCAUCCGAUACUGGAUGGCUUGAAUUCGGGAGAGGGAUGCAGAAUUCCAGGUGUAGCGGUGAAAUGCGUAGAUAUCUGGAGGAACACCGGUGGCGAAGGCGGCAUCCUGGACCAAUAUUGACGCUGAGGAGCGAAAGCCAGGGGAGCAAACGGG